rnacentral:lncRNA from 1 species
CAAGUUUGAGAUUUUUUCUUUUAUUUAUUUAUUUAAUUAUUUAAUUAAUUAUUAUUUUUUUAUUAUUUCAUUUUUUCUUUUUCUUUUUUUUCGUUUUUUUUUUUUCGUUUUUUUUUUAAAUAAAGUUUCUUGGAUCUGAUUCUGAUUGACAUGAUGAAAUGCAAUAUGAAAUGUUAAAUGACCUAAAAAUGAAUGCAUGAAUGAGGAGGGCAAAUUU